rnacentral:rRNA from 1 species
UACGGAGGAUGCAAGCGUUAUCCGGAUUCACUGGGUUUAAAGGGUGCGUAGGCGGGUUAUUAAGUCAGUGGUGAAAUCCUUGAGCUUAACUGAAGAACUGCCAUUGAUACUAUUAGUCUUGAAUAUGAUUGAGGUGGGCGGAAUAUGUCAUGUAGCGGUGAAAUGCUUAGAUAUGACAUAGAACACCGAUUGCGAAGGCAGCUCACUAAACCAUAAUUGACGCUGAGGCACGAAAGCGUGGGGAUCAAAC